rnacentral:rRNA from 1 species
GGGGGGUGCAAGCGUUGCUCGAAUUCAUUGGGCGUAAAGAGCAUGUAGGUGGUUGUGUAAGUCCGCUGUGAAAUCCUCAGGCUCAACCUGAGAAGGUCAGUGGAAACUACAUGGCUAGAGUGUGAGAGGGGAAAGUGGAAUUCCCAGUGUAGAGGUGAAAUUCGUAGAUAUUGGGAGGAACACCGGUGGCGAAGGCGACUUUCUGGCUCAAUACUGACACUGAGAUGCGAAAGCGUGGGGGGAGCAGACAGGAUUAGAUACCCUGGUAGUCCACGCCCGUAAACGAUGUGCACUAGUUGUUGGAGGAUAUUGACCCCCUUCAGUGACGCAGCUCACGCAUUAAAGUGCACUGCCUGGGGAGUACGGUCGCAAGACUA